GACAGAGGAUGCAAGCGUUAUCCGGAAUGAUUGGGCGUAAAGCGUCUGUAGGUGGCUUUUCAAGUCCGCCGUCAAAUCCCAGGGCUCAACCCUGGACAGGCGGUGGAAACUACCAAGCUGGAGUACGGUAGGGGCAGAGGGAAUUUCCGGUGGAGCGGUGAAAUGCAUUGAGAUCGGAAAGAACACCAAUGGCGAAGGCAGCUCGCUGGGACGGUACUGACGCUGAGACGCGAAAGCGUGGGGAGCGAACAGG
rnacentral:rRNA from 1 species